ACGGAGAGUUUGAUCCUGGCUCAGGAUGAACGCUAGCGGCAGGCCUAACACAUGCAAGUCGAGGGGCAGCGGGGAAAAGCUUGCUUUUCCGCCGGCGACCGGCGCACGGGUGCGCACCGCGUAUGGAACCUGCCUUGUACAGGGGAAUAGCCCAGGGAAACUUGGAUUAAUGCCCCGUAGUACCGUAUUUCGGCAUCGUUAUACGGUUAAAGCCUUCGGGCGGUACAAGAUGGCCAUGCGUCCCAUUAGCUGGAUGGUAAGGUAACGGCUUACCAUGGCUACGAUGGGUAGGGGCCCUGAGAGGGGGAUCCCCCACACUGGUACUGAGACACGGACCAGACUCCUACGGGAGGCAGCAGUGAGGAAUAUUGGACAAUGGAGGAGACUCUGAUCCAGCCAUGCCGCGUGCAGGAAGAAUGCCCUAUGGGUAGUAAACUGCUUUUAUACGGGAAGAAAAAGAGCUACGUGUAGCUUACUGACGGUACCGUAAGAAUAAGGACCGGCUAACUCCGUGCCAGCAGCCGCGGUAAUACG
rnacentral:rRNA from 1 species